rnacentral:rRNA from 1 species
UACGUAGGGUGCAAGCGUUGUCCGGAAUUAUUGGGCGUAAAGAGCUCGCAGGCGGUCUGUCGCGUCUGGUGUGAAAAUCCAGGGCUUAACCCUGGACCUGCAUCGGGUACGGGCAGACUAGAGUGCGGUAGGGGAGAUCGGAAUUCCUGGUGUAGCGGUGAAAUGCGCAGAUAUCAGGAGGAACACCGGUGGCGAAGGCGGAUCUCUGGGCCGUAACUGACGCUGAGGAGCGAAAGCAUGGGGAGCGAACAGG